UGUUUCCAAUCUGUUGUGGACAUCCAUUGAAAUGCAGUACAUCUGGCGCAAUGUAACAGAGUGCUUAUGGGUAAUGAAAACUUGAGGGGCUUUAGGGUUGUCAGACAAUUUUUGGGCCAAACCUAGCUCAAAUUCUACACGUUGGAGUAAAACGAGGCUACAGCGUCCAUAAGGUAACCAUUAAGCCUCGUUCACAUUACCCAUAAGCACUCCAUUACGCUGUGCUGGAUGUCAUGCAUUUCAAUGGGGACGUCCACAACGGAGUGGAAUUACAUCGCCCCACUUGCGGUUGAAGGCACCGUUGCGACAUAAUUUGACAUUUUCCAAACUUUGCCUUGUCUUCAGUCCAGCCAGAGUCCGGAAGUUACCAAACCACAGAACAAGAUGAAAAUGUGUGGUUUUCAUUGAUGGAUGAUGGCUGCAAUCCACUCCCAGUUAAGCGGGGUCCGGUCAGGCCACCUUCAGCUCCAAAAUGCCCUGGGGGAUGUGAUGGACAUCCAGAACUUUCUUUCUGGUAGAAGUCAGCAAUGACUGGAGGCAAAACAUUAACACCAUUGAGAACCUGAAGUAUGUAAAAUAUGCUGGGACGCAACAUCAGCGGUGGCUCCUCAGAGGAGGAAAUGCCUGAGUUGGUGGCAGGACACUCCAUUAAUGAUAGAGCAAGCCGAGCUGUUGAAGGGCCACCACAAGCUGAUGAACCUGGAGUGCUCAUGGAAUUACUUAAUGUACGAUCAGUACAGGAUGGGCAGCAAGAACACACACAACAUGAACCUCAAUCCAACAAGAUUGUGUCCCUCCACACCUGGGUCCUCAAUUAAAGGGAAACUUCACUGCUAGCCACUAUCUCCCUACAUCAUUUUAAGUGAUGAGAGGGUGUUCCUGACAUAAUUAUGCAGCAUAGAGGUAUUUUUGAAUAUUCGCAACGGUAGAGGUCAACCAAUGACGUCAUUGUUUGAUUGAGCCUGCUGUCUGAUCCCAAAAUUUACAGAGUCAUGCUUUGUAGCAAUUAUUGUGGCCUUUGUGUUACGCCGAUUGUACAAUCACACUAGCAGUGAGUAGAUAUGGUUGUCCUUGUUCAAUAGAGCCAUUGGCCUUGUCCCAACGAUGUUCCUAUCUGACACAACAUUGCAGGAUAUCUAGGUUGACUCAUGUUCUCUGGCUUUUUUUAUGUUCUUUUACAUACUAACAUAGGGACAUACUGCCCUAUUAAUUUGAGCCGGAAUACAGUGAAGAGGAGUUGAGACAGCGAGGACAAGAAUUGCGAGGCCAGCAAGCAGCGAUGGGGAGCCACGGGCAGACUUUGACUAGUGGUGCCUAUGUGGGUGCUGUCCAGCCACGCCGACAGAAGAGAAAUGUCUGUGCUGCAACUAAUUAGAUUGUGGACGGUUCAUACUGGAGAUGGUCACUGCAGACCCCAUGGAUUGUGUGUCUGAUACAGACCAUCAAAGUUUUGACGCACAUAUGGAUAGAAGUGUGCUGGAGACAUUUUUCAGAACCUCCAAGAUCAAAUGGCGGCGGCAGCCUAGACCAGCGGGGUAGUACGUUGUUUUGCUGUUGGUAGCUACUAGCUAGCUAGUAAUAUAAGCUCUCUUUUCACAUGAGGCAGUGUUGUUCAGUACAGUAUAAUUUUGUGAUUGAUUCGGCCAUAACGGGGCUUGCUAGUACCACUACAAGUUGAACUAGCUAGCUUUGUUUGCUAUACCCAAAAUGUCCCGUAGCCUAAUGUUAUCGUUACCUAGCUAUUGUAAGCUAGCUAUCAUAGCUAGCCUCAGUGCAUCUUAUUAGUAGCAAAAAUGGAUAAAUGUUUUGAUGAUGAUGACGAAGAGUAAAGAAAUGACUUUGGCUUUAUGACUCAUAUUGGUCUACCUGUGUGUCUGUGAGAUUUGUAAUAUUCUGCAUCAUGCUGCUACUGUAGGAAUACAGACAGUACACAAUGAUUGGCCAUUAAAGUCUAAUAGCGUUUUGUCAUU